CUUUAUCGCAUGUCAGAAUAAUUUCACAGCUUAGAAAUAACUUCAGUCUUCCUAAAGUGCUGUCUAUUACUGGGAUCUUUUCUAUAUUACUUGCAUUGCACUUUCUUAGAAAUAUCCUGUGUUGACACAGAGAAGAUUGUAUUGCUAAUUGCACACAGGGUAAAUACAUGAGACUUAUGUCUUAAGAACAACCAGUGUGAAUUCUGCUAAGGUUGGGUGUUACAGAGUUCAUCAGAAUUACUCAAAUGAUGCUCUGGCUGGUCAGCAGAACCCAUGGCACCCUCACUCAAAUGUAUUUAAGAACAGUAGCUGCUGGACAUGGUGGAUACAUGGAUUGUGGCACUGCUGAGGAGGAGGUAGCUGAAAGUGCACCCCUGGGGAGAGACACUUCAUGCCAAAUAAGGGGAUGAAUGAUUAUGGAAAAGUCUUCAGGAAGCACCAAAAAACAUGCAGUAAUCUAGAAAAUUCUGUACCAACACCAUAUUUUAUAGGAUCCUGUGCAAUGUUUAUAUGGGAGGUCAGUCAUUACUCUGGCUUUGAAGGUGCUCUUGGACUGGUCCUUAUGUGAA
rnacentral:lncRNA from 1 species